rnacentral:misc_RNA from 1 species
UCGACGAACGAUCGAAAUAAAUGCCGACACAGCACUGUCGAUGACAUCAGAGUUUAAAAGACGCCAUGCUCUAGUGCAUAAAUAAAAUAGUUUUAUUGAUGACGAAGAGUCUUUUUGAGUGAAUGAAUACCUGGCUACACUACCCCCAUCGCUUUGCAUAUAUACAUGUGGACAUGUUGCUCAUUCGCGUUAUAAAAUUUGCGUACACUAUUUUCCGGGUUAUUCGAAAUAUGACACGGGCAAGCAAAUUAAGCAUUAUGAUUUUCGGUUGACGAGAUAUCUUCAUCCAGCUCGUUUACAGUUGUUCAACAGAUAAACCACGUUGAAUGAUCGGUCAUACAACUAAACUGUUGUUGAUAAUGGCAAAUCUAUUAUCAUACUUUAGGUAAUAUUCAACAUAUACAACCGAAUACACCAGCAGCGAUCAUCCACGGAGUUUUCGACUUAAUUCGACUUCGUUCGACCCAUCAUGUCAAACCACGACAUCGUAAAGAUCCUAAGGGGUGAGGUGACGUACCCCUCCCCCGUUGAAAGGGGCAAGAAGGACACCUAUCACAAAGGUUACCAUGGUUACGAUUCUAGUUUUAGUACGAUCCGACAGGUCUCGACAUCGUCGUCGCUCUCAACUGCAUCACGGUCUUCGUUGAUUCCGUCGAGGAGUAUGAGGAUGACGAGGGCUAAUGUUGGCCUGCCGACGAUGCCUCGAGCAGACAGUUACCGCCAGAAGAGGACUGUUUUGGGAGAGAUUAAACGACUGAAAUCAGCAAUUAAGAGGGGUAGUUUUACCCUUGGCAAACACAAAAGAGAUGACAAGGCUCAUAAAGAUUGUUUGAACGCCGAACUGCAAACCUAUCAUGAGGGGGUGAGACUUUUUUGCGGAUUUGAUUGUACUCGUAUUUUCUUCUUUGUGUUUUUUUUUCUUUCUUUCUUUCUUUCUUUCGUUCCUUCUUUCUUUCA